UUCCUUUUUUUUUUUUUUUUUAAAAAGUGAGACUACUUGAGUAUCUGUUUACAUUACACUUGUGCUUGCUGUAUUAAUGCCCUGCUUCAGAAUUGCUAUUUACCUGUAGGAUUGGGGAAGGAAUUUCCCUUCCUUGGCUUCUGAAAGGUUUGCAUGUUUGUUUGUUUGUUUUCAUUGGUAGUGGUGGGGUUAUUUUCUUCUCAUUUCCCUCCCUGCUUCCUCUGAAGCACUGAAGGUUGAUACAGACACAUGAGGUUAAUGGAGUAUGUUGGUGGGUUUUUUUGUCAAUGAAGUCUUUUAAGCACCUGGUUUUCAGCAAUUGUGUGAAAUUCAGCUCAGAACUUCUGUUUGUUUGUUCCUGUGGAUGCUAUCAGCACUUGGAGACCAGGGCCUCCAUGGAGAGGGAAGGGAAUGCCAAAGCAAUGCAGGCUCGUAGUUUAACUCACUGGCAUGUGUAAGAUCAAAAGAGGAGGAAAAAUUUUCUUCCUUUCAGGGUAAAUAAAGAUAACAGUGUGGAGUAGACUUCCCAAAAUUCAAGAAUAUUUGGACCUUGUGUUCUGUUCUAAGCCUCUCUUGAGCAAACAUGCUUCCCUUUCUAAAUUAUUUUGCUGAGUGUUAUGGCUGGAAGAUUCAUAUAACAGAAUCUUGAGGUGACCUGACAAGACAAAUCUGGUGAAAUAUUAAAGUUUGUUUUCUAAAGAUUUAAACAGAUGUGUACCUAUAACAAUCUGUCAUAAAACCAUGCCUUUUGAAUGUUUAUUUUGUGUAUUUUAUGGUUUCUUCUAUGGAAUAAAGUAGGAUUGUGCAUUAGGAUCAGAGGGGCAUUUCCCAUAGUUCGGUGG